rnacentral:rRNA from 1 species
AUGCUGGAGGUAUCAGAAGUGCGAAUGCUGACGUGAGUAACGACAAAACGGGUGAAAAACCCGUUCGCCGAAAGACCAAGGGUUCCAGUCCAACGUUAAUCGGGGCUGGGUGAGUCGACCCCUAAGGCGAGGCCGAAAGGCGUAGUCGAUGGGAAAAUGGUUAAUAUUCCAUUACUUCUGUGUAAUGCGAUGAGAGGACGGAGAAGGCUAAAUCAGCCUGGCGUUGGUUGUCCAGGUGAAAGGAUGUAGGCAUGUAUCUUAGGCAAAUCCGGGGUACUCUAUGCUGAGAUCUGAUAGCAAGCUGUACUUGUACAGCGAAGUGGUUGAUGCCAUGCUUCCAGGAAAAGUCUCUAAGCUUCAGUUACACAGGAAUCGUACCCGAAACCGACACAGGUGGUCAGGUCGAGUAGACCAAGGCGCUUGAGAGAACUCUGCUGAAGGAACUAGGCAAAAUGGUACCGUAACUUCGGGAGAAGGUACGCUGUUGUUGGUGAUGGAACUCGCUUCCUGAGCUGACGACAGCCGCAGAAACCAGGCCGCUGCAACUGUUUAUUAAAAACAUAGCACUCUGCAAACACGAAAGUGGACGUAUAGGGUGUGAUGCCUGCCCGGUGCUGGAAGGUUAAUUGAUGGGGUUAGCGUAAGCGAAGCUCUUGAUCGAAGCCCCAGUAAACGGCGGCCGUAACUAUAACGGUCCUAAGGUAGCGAAAUUCCUUGUCGGGUAAGUUCCGACCUGCACGAAUGGCAUAAUGAUGGCGGCGCUGUCUCCAGCAGAGGCUCAGUGAAAUCGAAAUCGCUGUGAAGAUGCAGUGUACCCGCGGCUAGACGGAAAGACCCCGUGAACCUUUACUGCAGCUUGACACUGAACUUUGACCUUACUUGUGUAGGAUAGGUGGGAGGCUUUGAAGCUGGAACGCUAGUUCCAGUGGAGCCGUCCUUGAAAUACCACCCUGGUAAUGUUGAGGUUCUAACUCUGUCCCGUGAUCCGGGACGAGGACCGUGUCUGGUGGGUAGUUUGACUGGGGCGGUCUCCUCCUAAAGAGUAACGGAGGAG